rnacentral:rRNA from 1 species
GACGAACGCUGGCGGCGUGCUUAACACAUGCAAGUCGAACGGAAAGGCCCUGCUUUUGUGGGGUGCUCGAGUGGCGAACGGGCGUGUAACACGUGAGUAACCUGCCCUUGACUUUGGGAUAACUUCAGGAAACUGGGGCUAAUACCGGAUAGGAGCUCCUGCUGCAUGGUGGGGGUUGGAAAGGUUCGGCGGUUGGGGAGGGACUCGCGGCUUAUCAGCUUGUUGGUGGGGUAGUGGCUUACAGAGGCUUUGACGGGUAGCCGGCCUGAGAGGGUGACCGGCCUCAUUGGUACUGAGAUACGGCGCAGACUCCUACGGGAGGCAGCAGUGGGGAAUAUUGCACAAUGGGCGGAAGCCUGAUGCAGCAACGCCGCGUGCGUGAUGACGGCCUUCGUGUUGUAAACCGCUUUCGCCUGUGACGAAGCGUGAGUGACGGUAAUGGGUGAAGAAGCACCGGCUAACUACGUG